rnacentral:rRNA from 1 species
UAUUGGUCAAUGGACGAGAGUCUGAACCAGCCAAGUAGCGUGAAGGAUGACUGCCCUAUGGGUUGUAAACUUCUUUUAUAUGGGAAUAAAACAGGGUAUGCAUACCCUCUUGUAUGUACCAUAUGAAUAAGGAUCGGCUAACUCCGUGCCAGCAGCCGCGGUAAUACGGAGGAUCCGAGCGUUAUCCGGAUUUAUUGGGGUGAAAGGGUGCGUAGGCUGUGAGGUAAGUCAGCGGUGAAAUGCCCCCGCUCAACGGGGUGAAGUGCCAUUGAUACUGCCUUGCUGGAAUGCGGAUGCCGUGGGAGGAAUGUGUGGUGUAGCGGUGAAAUGCUUAGAUAUCACGAAGAACUCCGAUUGCGAAGGCAGCUCACUGGACUGUUAACUGACACUGAGGCUCGAAAAUGUGGGUAUCAAAC